rnacentral:antisense_RNA from 1 species
GGAGACACUGACAACAGGCUUAACUGGGAAGCUGCGCCCCAAAAGGAGCUUCAAAGAAGAGCCCCCUCCACAUCCUCAGGAGAAGGACUCUUGGUUGGAAAAGGCCUGGAAGUGACCAGUAUAUAUGGUGCUUCGUCUCUUUCUCAGGCCUAUAAGGACAGAAUUUACAUUUGAAAAGAAGAACAACACAGAAACUUUUGCAAAGGGCUUCAAUACUUUUUCUCUGAGGAACAUGCAAUGUGAUGAAGAAUAUUUUAUUUCCCAGAAAGCCAGAGGCUGGGCAAAGGCAGAGGGGCCUGGAGGCUGCUCCCAGGUUGGGAUUUCCAGUUCCUUGUUGAAGAGAAGUUACGAGACUGGGAAUCCUUGCUUUGUUCCUAAACAGGAGAUGAAAACAUUCAGUCUUUUGCCAUUAGGUCUGCCUUAUUAUUUUCAUAGUGUUGUGCAGGAGAAUCCACUUAGCAGCCUGGGUAAAACUGUAUGACAUGAUCUCGGGUUUGGUCCCUGAGAAAGAGCCAGAUUAACGCUGGCAGGAAAGAAAGCAGGAGUGCCCUUCAAGCGCGCUGCUGAAGGGCAACUGGAGGUUCCGGGGAAAUGUGAAGAAAGAAAUGCAAACACCCCUAGGAACCAGAUUGCAUCUUGGAAGUGAGGAGGUUCUGGAAGCUGUACACCCAAGGAAGACAUUCUGUGCCCGAGAGAGAGCGGGAGAGAUGUGACUGCUGCUGGCUGGGUGAGGACAGGCCCAGAUCAGCGUCACUGGCACCACCCCUGCACUUGGGUCCUCUGCACGUCAGCUCCCA